rnacentral:tRNA from 1 species
GCUCUAUUAUUUUAGUGGUAGAAUGGCGGUUUUGUAAACCUUUGGCGUCUGUUCGAUUCAGACAUAGAGCU